CCCCCCCCCCCGAGUGGGGGUCAUGGGCGAUUUGACGGAUGCACCGGGUCGAAUGUUCUUCAUCGCGUUUAUUUUCGCCGCGUCACUCGUCGCGAUGCAACACUUAGGAACGUGUAAAACCGCGAACGACCGCAGCCGUUGACAAUACAUUAAUUAUAAAAAAAAAAAAAAAAAAAAAUUAGCGAAAAAUCGCGACAAAAAACACACUCAACAGCGACACGAGAUUAAGAUUCUGAUUAUUUGCAUUAAUAAUUAUAAACAAUUGUACAUAAUAAAAAUAAAAAAAAUCGUCGUAUAACCGAGUAAUCGAAAAAAAAAAAAAUAUAAAAAAAAAACCAACUAGUCAAGCCCGUUUUGUAUAUUUAUUAUUUUUUAUUAUUAUUUUUUUUUUUUUUUACUCGAAUAUAAUACGACGCGUGUAUGUAAAUAGUUAUAAAAAAGAAAACUACUCGACGAAUAUAUUACAAUAUUAUUAUUAUCAUUAUUAUUGUUAUAUUUUUUACGUAUUGUACAGCUACACAAUGUUUUAACGGCGUUUUAUCGGAAUCUGUAAAUUUAUUUACCUUUUUUUUUUUUUUUCUACUACUAUUAUUAUUAUUACUAUUAGAUUGUGAUAUAUUUUAAGGUAUUGUACAUUAGUAACGAUAAUUAUUAUCAUUAUUAUCAUUAUUAUUAUUGUAAUUAUAACGUGACACUUUUGUAUAGUUGUACACGCAGCUGUCGUCUAUUAGAUAAUAUUAUUAUUAUUAUUAUUAUUAUUAUUAUUAUUAUUAUUAUUAUUAUAUACGUACCGUUAACAAUGAUUAUUGUAAUUUAUAUUAUUAUUUUUUACGGGAUCCGUAUUUAUUCGUUUUUUUUUAAUUUUUUUUUUUUUUUUUCUUAUAAUAAUACGUACGAAAACGCGCGCUCUCGGGGUUUUUCGUUUUCAUACGUAUACAUAUAUAUAUAUACAUACAUAUUAUAACGGUAUUCGCGUAAAUUUUGAACAUAUCAUUCGACCGUUUCGCGAACGGAAAAAACGACGCGUUCGAGACACCGAAAAACGAAAAACACACACCGUCUAACUAGUUUAAUGGCAUCGAUCGCGUUACCGCUAUCAGGUUUAUCGUUCGCGCCGAACCGUAACAUACAGUCGAUAAUUGCGAAGCCGUUACGAAGCAAUACGCGCGGUUAUCAUAAUAUAAUAUCGCGCACCCCCCCCCCAACCCCCCCGGUUCGUGUUUUACGCGCGGCGGUAGCCGUACGACGUCACGACAAUAUUAUGAAAAAGUAUUACCUCCCCAACCCACCUACUCCGGAAAACUAUUUAAUUUUUGUUAUUAUUAUUGUAAUCUAAGCCGAAAAAUAUUAUUAUUAUUACUAUUAAACAUUAUAUUGUGUACAGCUCUAAUAAAAUGUAAUAUUAUGUAUGAUUAUUUACGCGCGCAGCUAUAUGCUGCCGGACAAAUCUAUAUCAAAAAAAUAUGCCCAUAAAAAAAAAAAAAAAAAAUUGUUAACUC